rnacentral:rRNA from 1 species
GUGGGGAAUAUUGCACAAUGGGCGCAAGCCUGAUGCAGCAACGCCGCGUGGGGGAUGACGGCCUUCGGGUUGUAAACCUCUUUUAGUAGGGAAGAAGCGAAAGUGACGGUACCUGCAGAAAAAGCACCGGCUAACUACGUGCCAGCAGCCGCGGUAAUACGUAUGGUGCAAGCGUUGUCCGGAAUUAUUGGGCGUAAAGAGCUCGUAGGCGGUUUGUCGCGUCUGCUGUGAAAUCCCGAGGCUCAACCUCGGGCCUGCAGUGGGUACGGGCAGGCUAGAGUGCGGUAGGGGAGAUUGGAAUUCCUGGUGUAGCGGUGGAAUGCGCAGAUAUCAGGAGGAACACCGAUGGCGAAGGCAGAUCUCUGGGCCGCUACUGACGCUGAGGAGCGAAAGCAUGGGGAGCGAACAGGAUUAGAUACCCGAGUAGUCC